GUGAACUGGUUCAAGUCCAUCCAGGAAAUGCAGCUUCAUCAAGUCAUCCCUGGACGACACUUCUCUCCUCAGAGCCAAAGCAGACCUGACAGCUGUCUCCCCAGAGGGACUUGAGAAGCUCUAGACACCCGUGCUACCUGCUUCUCUCCUCCCGGAGUCCAGCCCAGCCCCGCUUACCUGGCCUGCAGAUUUCUUAAACCUGCAGCCAGAGCAAGCUUAUCAGCAGCCUGCAUCUCCCACUCACCACGCUCCCCUGCGUUUUCCAGUUAACUUCCUUUCCUCUCUGCUUGCCAUUCACCUGUGGCUCUCUGCACAGACAGACCUACCUUGAGCCCCUGGGACAUUCUGAGCCUGCAGCCCCUGGAGUGAGAUGGACAAAUGAACAAGUGCAGAUGGGAAGACUAGGUGAGCUCCACCUCCCAAAAUACCAGGACUUUCAAGAUUAGGAACUGAUCUAGAACCUGGCUCUGGACCCAUAGAACCGUCAGCAAAUACUGGUCUUGUUGAAGCAGGGGACAUCUGACAGUAUCUGGAGUCACUUUGUUAUGGAAAAGGCAAAGGGUUUCUCUUAGGAGCAUCCAGAGUGUGGAGCUCAGGGUUGCAAUUCAUGUCCUGCAACCCUUGACAAUGAAUUACCCGCUCUGCAUGCCCAUGGUGCCACAGCUAAGGAAGCCUGGUCUGUCCUCAUCUUUCGGUGUGUGAGAGGGGAUACAACUCACAACCUCAUGCUUGCCAGUUAUUUGGCUGCAUUUGGACUUAACCAGCUGGCCAUCAGUCCUGGACAUGUCCUAAGAGCUCCCGCAGGAAUCAGGAGCCCAGUCCUGCGAAAUCUUGCCGCCCCUGAAUGCCAGAAAUAGAACAAACCACCCCCAAUCCCUUCCCUUUUCAACUUUAUCUCCUGGAGUUGUCUGUGUAAGAUGAAUCUGACUGCAAACCCCAGGCUUCCUUCUUCCCAGCUCCCAGGUUCCCAGGGAGGGGAGGAGCCCACAAGGGCUUCCUGGCUUCAAAUUGCAAAACGGCCUGCUGUCAUCAAGAAAAAAUGUGUUUUUCCUCUGGCUAAAGCCAGUUAGCUCACCAGGAGUCGGGCCCCCAGGUGAACUGUGUGUGAGAGAUGGGGUGAUCAAACCCUCCUGCCUCACAACCAGGGCCUGUUUACCUAGAGAACGUGGGUGCAGCCCCUCAUACCUCUGGGCUAUGGAACAGCAUGUGGUAUUUUUCCUGCCUUUGAAAUCUCUUAGUGGAUAUGUCUGAUGUACUCUAUAUUCUGUUUAGUUUGUUGGGGUAUUUCCCCCCUAGUCUUUUAUUCUUAGGGUGAGGUUUUCUCAGUUGGGAGAAGACUUGUUUUAAUUAAAUUUCCCUAACACCUGCAGGUUACUUCUGACUUUUUUGUUUCUUUCUUUCUUUUUUUUUUUUUUUUUGUGCCAAGGAUCAAACUCACGACUUUGACAUGUGUUUUCCAAGCAGGCGCUUACACUUUACACCACCGAGCUAAACACCCGGCCCUGACACUUUUUUUCUAAUCUUUUUUAUUUUUUUGGUACUGGGGACUGAACUCAUGACCUCGUGCUUGCCAGGCAGGCGCUUAUGCCACUGGGCUAAAUCCCAGCCUUUUCCUAAUCAUUUUAGCAGCUCUGUUACCUAUCUAGAGUUCAAAGUCUCUUAGUCCAGGGCAAUCUCUCUGUUUUUCACUUUGGUAACUUGAAAUUAUGUGUGACAGCGUUUCCUCUGGAGGAUCAUUGCUGGGACAAAUGGAGAUAAAAGGCUUAGCCAUAGAUCCCAGAACUGAGUUAGUUCCCUUUUUCUUCUUAAAUAGCAGUAAAAUAUACGCAUCAUAUUGGGUCUGUUCGUGGUUGGCUUAUUCCACUGAUCAUAACAAUGUCCUCUCAGUUCACCCGCAUUGUAGUGUGUGGUAGAAUUUUUGCUUUUUCGAGGCUGAGUGGUAUUUCAUUGUGUAGCCCUAUCACAUUGUAUGUCUGAUUCAUCCAUCGAUAGACACAAGUAUGAUGCUUAGGAAUAAUAUAGCUAUGAACACGGAUAUAUAAAUGGUUCUUUGAGACUCUGCUUUCAGUUAUUUUGAGUAUAUAU